rnacentral:RNase_P_RNA from 1 species
CGAGUCGGCCGGGCGGUCGCGUCGGGGGAAACCCCGCCGAGGAAAGUCCGGGCUCCACAGGACACGGUGGUGGCUAACGGCCACCCGGGGUGACCCGCGGGACAGUGCCACAGAAAACAAACCGCCCGAAAGGGUAAGGGUGAAAAGGCGGGGUAAGAGCCCACCGCGCUGCGAGUGAUCGCAGCGGCACGGUAAACCCCACCGGGAGCAAGACCAAGCAGCGUCCGUUGAGGUUGUCCGCCGAGGACGCGGGUAGGUUGCUCGAGGGCCUCAGCAAUGGGGCUCCUAGAUGGAUGAUCGCCAGCCGCUCGCGGCGACAGAACCCGGCUUACAGGCCGGCUCGUUCC